rnacentral:rRNA from 1 species
UAACAUGCAGUCGAGCGGAUGGAUUAAGAGCUUGCUCUUAUGAAGUUAGCGGCGGACGGGUGAGUAACACGUGGGUAACCUGCCCAUAAGACUGGGAUAACUCCGGGAAACCGGGGCUAAUACCGGAUAACAUUUUGAACCGCAUGGUUCGAAAUUGAAAGGCGGCUUCGGCUGUCACUUAUGGAUGGACCCGCGUCGCAUUAGCUAGUUGGUGAGGUAACGGCUCACCAAGGCAACGAUGCGUAGCCGACCUGAGAGGGUGAUCGGCCACACUGGGACUGAGACACGGCCCAGACUCCUACGGGAGGCAGCAGUAGGGAAUCUUCCGCAAUGGACGAAAGUCUGACGGAGCAACGCCGCGUGAGUGAUGAAGGCUUUCGGGUCGUAAAACUCUGUUGUUAGGGAAGAACAAGUGCUAGUUGAAUAAGCUGGCACCUUGACGGUACCUAACCAGAAAGCCACGGCUAACUACGUGCCAGCAGCCGCGGUAAUACGUAGGUGGCAAGCGUUAUCCGGAAUUAUUGGGCGUAAAGCGCGCGCAGGUGGUUUCUUAAGUCUGAUGUGAAAGCCCACGGCUCAACCGUGGAGGGUCAUUGGAAACUGGGAGACUUGAGUGCAGAAGAGGAAAGUGGAAUUCCAUGUGUAGCGGGAAAAUGGGCUU